GCCGCGGUAAAACCAGCACCUCAAGUGGUCAGGAGGAUUAUUGGGCCUAAAGCAUCCGUAGCCGGCUCUGUAAGUUUUCGGUUAAAUCCAUGUGCUCAACACAUGGGCUGCCGAAAAUACUGCAUAGCUAGGGAGUGGGAGAGGUAGACGGUACUCGGUAGGAAGGGGUAAAAUCCUUUGAUCUAUCGAUGACCACCUGUGGCGAAGGCGGUCUACCAGAACACGUUCGACGGUGAGGGAUGAAAGCUGGGGGAGCAAACCGGAUUAGAUACCCGGGUAGUCCCAGCUGUAAACGAUGCAGACUCGAUGAUGCAUUGGCAUAUAGCCAGUGCAGUGUCGCAGGGAAGCCGUUAAGUCUGCCGCCUGGGAAGUACGUACGCAAGUAUGAAACUUAAAGGAAUUGGCGGGGGAGCA
rnacentral:rRNA from 2 species